GCUGCAAUCACCUGCUUUGCCUACUAUGGGCACACACGGGCAUGGUUUUCUCCCCAUGCUGCUGAGAGGCCAGGCUGCAGCUGCUGUUGUCUUCUUGAUGGGUGGAACUCGCAUUCAGGCUAGCUGCCUAUUAUCAGCCUCUGUCACAGUUGCAGGUGCACUGAGUGGCAGUGUUUCCUGCCUAUGCAGCCAACAAAUAAGCCUGGCUGCAGAAACUGUGAGUGUGCUGGUAUGUGAGGUUACCUUCCCCCUCCACAGGGCAGGAGUCACUUUACAGUGGUACCAGUCCUGGCCAGGCUACCUGUCAGUUGUGAUGGGGCAGGAGCUGCUUGAGAAGGAUUCCUGCUGAGGCAGGCAGGUCCAGUCAGGGUGAAGCUUCACAUAUGAAGUCUCAAUUCCAGCUGCCACAUCAUUGUGUAUAAAGGCAUCACUCCCUGAGUCCCUGUGGGAAUUUCUUUCCAAUCGCCAAAUUGCUGAGACAAGCACCCUUUCACACUCCAAGGAACUAUGAAUUCUCAGUCCAUUUUUUGACACAUGGAGACUUCUCUUUCUUUUUGGGGGUAACAGUAUACUUUAUUGAUGGUACAUGACAAGCAAGAUAUGCACAUUUAAGGCAGUCUGUCUAUUGGAGGGAAAAAAAAAUUACCAAAACAUGAAAACCAUGAGGCAAAACACGCCAUGUCUUGUCUGCCAUUUCUGGGUGACCUUUCAUCACCACUGUGAUAUCCUCUGUCACUCCUGAGGGUGAUGUCCAGACUCUCAAACAAUCUGACCAUUCAGUGGAAGAAAGAAAUGGAUAAUUUCCUCUAUGCCCUACCAAAUUCUCUUAACUGAAGAUGACAUUUAAGCCUGAGUCCUAAGCUAUUUUGGAGCGUUACUCAUUUUCCCUGGGUAGCUUCCAUGUAUACCCGAACUAUAUGUGUUAAUAAACUACUGGUUUUUUGUU